GUUUUUUGAAUGGGUUCUAUUCCCAAACCGUGUAUACAUACCUUUGUUGCUUUGGCAGGCCGCCUCUUAGGCGUCGGCUCCGGCUGACUGCGCUUGCCAGAGGACCCAAACUCUUUUGUUUAGUGAUGUCUGAGUACUAUAUAAUAGUUAAAACUUUCAACAACGGAUCUCUUGGUUCUGGCAUCGAUGAAGAACGCAGCGAAAUGCGAUAAGUAAUGUGAAUUGCAGAAUUCAGUGAAUCAUCGAAUCUUUGAACGCACAUUGCGCCCCUUGGUAUUCCGAGGGGCAUGCCUGUUCGAGCGUCAUUAUAACCACUCAAGCCUCGGCUUGGUCUUGGGGUUCGCGGUCUCGCGGCCCUUAAAAUCAGUGGCGGUGCCGUCUGGCUCUAAGCGUAGUAAUUUUCUCGCUAUAGGGUCUAGGCGACCACCUGCCAAAACCCCCCAUUCUUUACGGUUGACCUCGGAUCAGGUAGGGAUACCCGCUGAACUUAAGCAUAUCAAUAAGCGGAGGAA
rnacentral:rRNA from 1 species